UAGAGGAAGUAAAAGUCGUAACACAGUUUCCGUAGGUGAACCUGCGGAAGGAUCAUUACUGAAGAUAAGAGAGUUUUGAGACUACGUCUUUAUCGUGUGCUCGACUCUUACUCUUUAUCCACACACCCCUUUGUGCACCAUGGGAGACCGUAAGUGUCACCCCUUUUGACUUAACACAAAGUUAUAUGCAUGUCUUUAUAUAUACUCUACGGAGUUAAAUGUAACAACUUUUAACAACGGAUCUCUUGGCUUUCGCAUCGAUGAAGAACGCAGCGAACGUGCGAAACGUAAUGUGAAUUGCAGAAUUCAGUGAAUCAUCGAAUCUUUGAACGCAUCUUGCGCUCCUUGGUAUUCCGAGGAGCAUGCCUGUUUGAGUGUCGUGAAUACUCUCAAUUUCAAUCUUUUUGUUUGAAAUUGGAUUUGGAUGUUGUUGUUGACGCAUUAACGACUCGUCCUAAAUACAUUAGCGAUCUGGCUUGAUCACACACAAUGUGAUAAAUUAUUUCAUCAUUGUUAUACUCAAGUCAUGACUGCUUCUAACCGUCGAAAGACACCGCAUAUAUGCAUGUCAUUUGACCUCAAAUCAGGUAGGACUACCCGCUGAGCUUAAGCAUAUCAAUAAGCGGGGGAGAAAAGACUAACAAGGAUUCCCCUAGUAACGGCGAGUGAAGAGGGAAAAGCUCAAAUUUGAAAUCUGGCGGUCUUAAGGCUGUCCGAGUUGUAAUCUAGAGAAGUGUUUUCCGUGCUGGACCGUGUACAAGUCCUUUGGAAUAAGGCGUCAUAGAGGGUGAGAAUCCCGUCUACGACACGGACUGCCAGUGCUCUGUGAUACACUCUCAACGAGUCGAGUUGUUUGGGAAUGCAGCUCAAAAUGGGUGGUAAAUUCCAUCUAAAGCUAAAUACAGGCGAAAGACCGAUAGCGAACAAGUACCGUGAGGGAAAGAUGAAAAGCACUUUGGAAAGAGAGUUAAACAGUACGUGAAAUUGUUGAAAGGGAAACGCUUGAAGUCAGUCGCGUCUUCAGAAAUUCAGCCUGGCUUCUGCUUGGUGUACUU
rnacentral:rRNA from 1 species